GACGAACGCUGGCGGCGUGCUUAACACAUGCAAGUCGAACGGUGAAGCUCCAGCUUGCUGGAGUGGAUCAGUGGCGAACGGGUGAGUAACACGUGAGCAACCUGCCCCUGACUCUGGAAUAAGCGCUGGAAACGGCGGCUAAUACUGGAUACGAGAAGGGUCCGCAUGGGCACUUUCUGGAAAGUUUUUCGGUUGGGGAUGGGCUCGCGGCCUAUCAGCUUGUUGGUGAGGUAAUGGCUCACCAAGGCGACGACGGGUAGCCGGCCUGAGAGGGCGACCGGCCACACUGGGACUGAGACACGGCCCAGACUCCUACGGGAGGCAGCAGUGGGGAAUAUUGCACAAUGGGCGAAAGCCUGAUGCAGCGACGCCGCGUGAGGGAUGACGGCCUUCGGGUUGUAAACCUCUUUCAGCAGGGAAGAAGCGAAAGUGACGGUACCUGCAGAAGAAGCACCGGCUAACUACGUG
rnacentral:rRNA from 1 species